rnacentral:tRNA from 1 species
GCGGAUGUGGCGGAAUUGGCGGAAUUGGCAGACGCACUAGACUUAGGAUCUAGCGCCAUUGGCGUGGGGGUUCGACUCCCUUCAUCCGCA